rnacentral:lncRNA from 1 species
CGGUAGUGAAAAUGCGCCGCCUUGGUCCGGCGAUGGUGCCUUCAAUGGCAAAAAACUACGUCAAAGCCUUCAAUGCAUAUCCCAGAAGAUGUAGAAAUCGCAAAAGCUUAUAUCCUUCAAUGAUGAAUUGAUAAAGAUGAAUUAAGAAUAUCACAGAAACUUAUAUCCUUUAAAGCCUUCAAGCCUUCAAUUACGAAUUGAGG